rnacentral:lncRNA from 1 species
AAGAGACCGGCCCACUAUGUUGCCCAGGCAGAUCUCGAACUGCUGAGCUCAAGCGAUCCGCCCGCCUCCCCUCCCGAAGUGCUAGGAUUCCAGGUGUGGCCACCGCGCCCACCACUUCCUUGCCUCCUCUCCCAAGCUUGCCCUCCUGUCUCCUGCUUUCCCUUAGACAAACUCAUAUGAUCCUGGGCCCGCGCAGAUAAUCUGGCAUAAUCUCAAAAUCCUUAAUCCCAUCUCUGGGGCCACAAUUCAACCAACUACAAGCUUGAAUCUGGGGAAUGAGCCAUGGAGGUGUUGGGGAGAGCGUGUUGCUGGCAGUGCAAGGGCCAGGAGGCAGGAAACAGCCAUCUGCAGCAGCCCCACUCCCGCCCUCUAGGGGCUGUGCCUCCUCCUACAACGUACCAGGAGGAUCACGGCGCCCACAGCCUGGCAGCUGCUCCACCACACCUUCUCACCCGGUGCCGAGUGCAGCUGUUCCUGUCUGAGGAGGCUCAGUUUGGAAGCAGCCCCUCUUGGGACUCAGAAAUCAAGGUCUCCGCCUUCCCCUUCCUCGAGA